UACGAAGGGGGCGAGCGUUGUUCGGAUUUACUGGGCGUAAAGGGCGCGCAGGCGGCUCAUUUUGUCAGGCGUGAAAGCCCCGGGCUUAACCUGGGAACUGCGUUUGAUACGGGUGGGCUAGAGUUCGGGAGAGGAGCGUGGAAUUCCCAGUGUAGAGGUGAAAUUCGUAGAUAUUGGGAGGAACACCGGUGGCGAAGGCGGCGCUCUGGACCGAGACUGACGCUGAGGCGCGAAAGCGUGGGGAGCAAACAGG
rnacentral:rRNA from 1 species